rnacentral:rRNA from 1 species
GUACAGAUGGAUACAACCUAUCGGGUGGGGAUUAGUGGCGAACGGGUGAGUAACACGUGGGCAAUCUGCCCUGCACUCUGGGACAAGCCCUGGAAACGGGGUCUAAUACCGGAUACUGAGCCUCGCAGGCAUCUGCGGGGUUCGAAAGCUCCGGCGGUGCAGGAUGAGCCCGCGGCCUAUCAGCUUGUUGGUGAGGUAACGGCUCACCAAGGCGACGACGGGUAGCCGGCCUGAGAGGGCGACCGGCCACACUGGGACUGAGACACGGCCCAGACUCCUACGGGAGGCAGCAGUGGGGAAUAUUGCACAAUGGGCGAAAGCCUGAUGCAGCGACGCCGCGUGAGGGAUGACGGCCUUCGGGUUGUAAACCUCUUUCAGCAGGGAAGAAGCGAAAGUGACGGUACCUGCAGAAGAAGCGCCGGCUAACUACGUGCCAGCAGCCGCGGUAAUACGUAGGGCGCGAGCGUUGUCCGGAAUUAUUGGGCGUAAAGAGCUCGUAGGCGGCUUGUCGCGUCGGUUGUGAAAGCCCGGGGCUUAACCCCGGGUCUGCAGUCGAUACGGGCAGGCUAGAGUUCGGUAGGGGAGAUCGGAAUUCCUGGUGUAGCGGUGAAAUGCGCAGAUAUCAGGAGGAACACCGGUGGCGAAGGCGGAUCUCUGGGCCGAUACUGACGCUGAGGAGCGAAAGCGUGGGGAGCGAACA